rnacentral:rRNA from 1 species
AGUUGAGGAAAAGAAACCAACAGGGAUUGCCUUAGUAACGGCGAGUGAAGCGGCAAAAGCUCAAAUUUGAAAUCUAGCACUUUCAGUGUUCGAGUUGUAAUUUGAAGAAGGUAUCUUUGGAGUUGGCCCCCGUCUAUGUUCCUUGGAACAGGACGUCACAGAGGGUGAGAAUCCCGUGCGAUGGGGAGACCAAUUCUAUGUAAAGUUCCUUCGAAGAGUCGAGUUGUUUGGGAAUGCAGCUCUAAGUGGGUGGUAAAUUCCAUCUAAAGCUAAAUAUUGGCGAGAGACCGAUAGCGAACAAGUACAGUGAUGGAAAGAUGAAAAGAACUUUGAAAAGAGAGUGAAAAAGUACGUGAAAUUGUUGAAAGGGAAGGGCUUUUGAUCAGACUUGGUGUUUAGUACUCUCUGCUCCUUGUGGGUGGGGCUCUUGCUUUAUACUGGGCCAGCAUCGGUUUGGAUGGUAGGAUAAUAGCAUUGGAACGUGGCUUCAUUCGUGGAGUGUUAUAGCCUUUGUUGAUACUACCUAUCUAGACCGAGGACU